rnacentral:rRNA from 1 species
CCUACGGGUGGCAGCAGUGGGGAAUAUUGCGCAAUGGGCGAAAGCCUGACCCAGCGACGCCGCGUGAGGGAUGAAGGUCUUCGGAUCGUAAACCUCUGUUAGCAGGGAAGAACGGUCACUGUGCUAAUCAGCAGUGAAUUGACGGUACCUGCAAAGGAAGCACCGGCUAACUCCGUGCCAGCAGCCGCGGUAAUACGGAGGGUGCGAGCGUUAAUCGGAAUUACUGGGCGUAAAGCGGUCGUAGGCGGUAUGUCAAGUCAAGGGUGAAAUGCCCGCGCGCAACGUGGGAACUGCCUUUGAAACUGGCAAACUGGAGUGGGUGAGAGGAAAGUGGAAUUCGAGGUGUAGGAGUGAAAUCCGUAGAGAUCUGGAGGAACAUCAGUGGCGAAGGCGACUAUCUGGCACAUAACUGACGCUGAGGAGCGAAAGCGUGGGUAGCAAACAGGAUUAGAUACCCGGGUAGUC